UAAUUGUAUAGCUCUCCUCUUUAUUGAGGGUACAUUUGCUGAAAGCCUCUUAUCCUGACUUCUUGAAGGCAGCUAGAGUCUUCGUGGUCCUUAUUUGUCCAUCCUAACUUCUUGAAAUAUGACUUGCAUAUCAUCCUAUCACAAUAAUAGGGGUAGAAUUUGCAGCAAAGACGUAAACAUAUUGGUAAGCAUGAGUUGCAAAAAACAUCUACCAUCAAAAAUAAAAUUCCCCAAUUUAGUAUUAAUUGUUCUCCUUAACUGUAGCUGAUGUAAAUGUUACCUAAAAUUUUACAUUUUACAAUACACUACUUUAUAAUAUUCACCAUGUUAUUUUACAUAUGAUGAUAAGAAAACCAUAUCAAGUGAGUGACAAACAAAUUAAGUGGCUCCGAGGUAUCACCUUAUAAGCUUACCAGAAUAGAAGUCAGAUCUUCCUGACACGAACCAAGAUCAUUACCAUCAGAGAUGUGCUUGUCAAAUAGGACUCCAAUUUUUUAACAAUCGGUUUUCUUCAAAAACAAGCAUUACUCUGCCUCGAUGACCAUAGUUGGG
rnacentral:lncRNA from 1 species